rnacentral:rRNA from 1 species
ACUCAAAUGAAUUGACGGGGACCCGCACAACCAGUGGAGCGUGUGGUUUAAUUCGAGACGAAACGAAAGACCUCACCAAGGUUUGAAAUGUUAGCGUUCUAUUUUACAGAAAUGUAGAAAAUCCGUAAGGAGGCUAGCACAGGUGCUGCAUGGCUGUCGUCAGCUCGUGCCGUGAGGUGUUCCCUUAAGUGGGGAAACGAGCGCAACCCCCACCUAAUGUUAAAUUGUUCAUUAGGAACUGCCUUGAUCUAAUCAGGGAGGAAGGAGGGGUAGACGUCAAGUCAGCACGGCCCUUAUACCUUGGGCCACACACACACUACAAUGGCGAACAACAAUGGGCUGCAAGCUGGUAACAGUAAGCGAAUCCCUGAAAUUUCGCCUCAGUUCAGAUUGGGGUCUGCAACUCGACCCCAUGAAGUCGGAAUUGGUAGUAAUCGCGGAUCAGCAUGCCGCGGUGAAUACGUUCUCGGGUCUUGUACACACCGCCCGU